AUGUACCACGCGUACACUCCGGUUCUGAGCGCGCCGUCCGCGCCCACCUGACAGCUGCUCGCUACGGUUUGUUAGCC
rnacentral:sRNA from 1 species